rnacentral:rRNA from 1 species
UGGGGAAUUUUGGACAAUGGGCGAAAGCCUGAUCCAGCAAUGCCGCGUGUGUGAAGAAGGCCUUCGGGUUGUAAAGCACUUUUGUCCGGAAAGAAAUCCUUGGCUCUAAUACAGUCGGGGGAUGACGGUACCGGAAGAAUAAGCACCGGCUAACUACGUGCCAGCAGCCGCGGUAAUACGUAGGGUGCAAGCGUUAAUCGGAAUUACUGGGCGUAAAGCGUGCGCAGGCGGUUUGCUAAGACCGAUGUGAAAUCCCCGGGCUCAACCUGGGAACUGCAUUGGUGACUGGCAGGCUAGAGUAUGGCAGAGGGGGGUAGAAUUCCACGUGUAGCAGUGAAAUGCGUAGAGAUGUGGAGGAAUACCGAUGGCGAAGGCAGCCCCCUGGGCCAAUACUGACGCUCAUGCACGAAAGCGUGGGGAGCAAACAGGAUUAGAUACCCUGGUAGUCCACGCCCUAAACGAUGUCAACUAGUUGUUGGGGAUUCAUUUCCUUAGUAACGUAGCUAACGCGUGAAGUUGACCGCCUGGGGAGUACGUCGCAAGAUUAAAACUCAAAUGAAUUGACGGGGUC